rnacentral:rRNA from 1 species
CCUACGGGAGGCAGCAGUGAGGAAUAUUGGUCAAUGGACGAGAGUCUGAACCAGCCAAGUAGCGUGAAGGAUGACUGCCCUAUGGGUUGUAAACUUCUUUUAUAAAGGAAUAAAACGAGGCACGUGUGCCUUUUUGCAUGUACUUUAUGAAUAAGGAUCGGCUAACUCCGUGCCAGCAGCCGCGGUAAUACGGAGGAUCCGAGCGUUAUCCGGAUUUAUUUGGUUUAAAGGGAGAGUAGAUGGGUUGUUAAGUUAGUUGUGAAAGUUUGCGGCUCAACCGUAAAAUUGCAAUUGAUACUGGCAGUCUUGAGUACAGUUGAGGUAGGCGGAAUUCGUGGUGUAGCGGUGAAAUGCUUAGAUAGCACGAAGAACCCCGAUUGCGAAGGCAGCUUACUAAACUGUGACUGACAUUGAUGCUCGAAAGUGUGGGUAUCAAACAGGAUUAGAUACCCCGGUAGUC